CCUACGGGAGGCAGCAGUGGGGAAUAUUGCACAAUGGGGGGAACCCUGAUGCAGCGACGCCGCGUGAGUGAAGAAGUAUUUCGGUAUGUAAAGCUCUAUCAGCAGGGAAGAAAAUGACGGUACCUGACUAAGAAGCCCCGGCUAACUACGUGCCAGCAGCCGCGGUAAUACGUAGGGGGCAAGCGUUAUCCGGAUUUACUGGGUGUAAAGGGAGCGUAGACGGUUAUGCGAGUCUGAAGUGAAAGCCCAAGGCUCAAACAUGGGCCUGCUUUGGAAACUGUAAAACUGGAGGGCAGGAGAGGUAAAGGGAAAGCCUAGGGUAGCGGUGAAAGGCGGAGAUAGUAGGAGGAACACCAGUGGCGAAGGCGGCUUACUGGACUGUAACUGACGUUGAGGCUCGAAGGCGUGGGGAGCAAACAGGAUUAGAUACCCCAGUAGUC
rnacentral:rRNA from 1 species